AUACUUACCUGGCAGGGGAAGAUAUCAUGAUCACAAAGGUGAUUUUUACAGGGUAAGGCUUAUCCAUUGCACUGUGGGUGUGUUCACUCUUGCAAUUUCCACAAAAACAGGAAACUCAACUGUGCAAUUUGUGGUAGUGGAGGACUGCAUUAGCCUAUCCCCUG